GAUGAACGCUCGCGGGAGGCCUAACACAUGCAAGCCGAGCGGUAUUGUUUCUUCGGAAAUGAGAGAGCGGCGUACGGGUGCGUAACACGUGUGCAACCUGCCUUUAUCUGGGGGAUAGCCUUUCGAAAGGAAGAUUAAUACUCCAUAAUAUAUUGAACGGCAUCGUUUAAUAUUGAAAGCUCCGGCGGAUAGAGAUGGGCACGCGCAAGAUUAGCUAGUUGGUGAGGUAACGGCUCACCAAGGCGAUGAUCUUUAGGGGGCCUGAGAGGGUGAUCCCCCACACUGGUACUGAGACACGGACCAGACUCCUACGGGAGGCAGCAGUGAGGAAGAUUGGUCAAUGGGUGCAAGCCUGAACCAGCCAUCCCGCGUGAAGGACGACUGCCCUAUGGGUUGUAAACUUCUUUUGUCUAGGGAUAAACCUACCCUCGAGAGGGUAGCUGAAGGUACUAUACGAAUAAGCACCGGCUAACUCCGUG
rnacentral:rRNA from 1 species